rnacentral:rRNA from 1 species
UGUGCCAGCAGCCGCGGUAAGACGAACCGUGCGAACGUUAUUCGGAGCAACUGGGCUUAAAGAGUUCGUAGGCGGCGCUGUCAGUGAGGGGUGAAAUACUAUCGGCUCAACCGUGGAAUUGCCUUUCAUACUGCAGUGCUUGAGGGAAGUAGGGGCGAGUGGAACUUCCGGUGGAGCGGUGAAGUGUGUUGAGAUCGGAAGGAACGCCGGUGGCGAAAGCGACUCGCUGGGUUUCUCCUGACGCUGAGGAACGAAAGCUAGGGGAGCAAACGGGAUUAGAUACCCCGGUAGUCCUAGCCGUAAACGUUGGGUACUGAGUAGGAAGCGAUCCGAUGUCGCCUCCUGCUGGAGCGAAAGUGUUAAGUACCCCGCCUGGGGAGUAUGGCCGCAAGGCUGAAACUCAAAGGAAUUGACGGGGGCUCACACCAGCGGUGGAGCAUGUGGCUCAAUUCGAGGCUACGCGAAGAACCUUAUCCUAGGUUUGACAUGCAGGAAGUAGUCCGGUGGAAACAUCGGGCGGCCGGUAUCCAAUCCGGAGACCUGCACAGGUGCUGCAUGGCUGUCGUCAGCUCGUGUUGUGAGACGUCGGGUUAAGUCCCUUAACGAGCGAAACCCUUGUCCUUAGUUACCAGCGGGUCAUGCCGGGAACUCUAAGGAGACCGCCGGUGUUAAGCCGGAGGACGGUGGGGAUGACGUCAAGUCCUCAUGGCCUUUAUGCCUAGGGCUGCACACGUGCUACAAUGGGAGAUACAAAGGGAUGCUAGGCCGCGAGGCGGAGCAAUCCCAAAAAAUCUCCCUCAGUUCAGAUUGAAGGCUGCAACUCGCC